rnacentral:rRNA from 1 species
AUUGAACGCUGGCGGCAGGCCUAACACAUGCAAGUCGAGCGGAUGAAGGGAGCUUGCUCCUGGAUUCAGCGGCGGACGGGUGAGUAAUGCCUAGGAAUCUGCCUGGUAGUGGGGGAUAACGUCCGGAAACGGGCGCUAAUACCGCAUACGUCCUGAGGGAGAUAGUGGGGGAUCUUCGGACCUCACGCUAUCAUAUGAGCCUAGGUCGGAUUAGCUAGUUGGUGGGGUAAAGGCCUACCAAGGCGACGAUCCGUAACUGGUCUGAGAGGAUGAUCAGUCACACUGGAACUGAGACACGGUCCAGACUACUACGGGAGGCAGCAGUGGGGAAUAUUGGACAAUGGGCGAAAGCCUGAUCCAGCCAUGCCGCGUGUGUGAAGAAGGUCUUCGGAUUGUAAAGCACUUGUAGUUGGGAGGAAGGGCAGUAAGUUAAUACCUUGCUGUUUUGACGUUACCAACAGAAUAAGCACCGGCUAACUUCGUG